rnacentral:tRNA from 1 species
GAUAAAAUGGCUGAGGAGUUAGGCAAUAAAUUGUAAAUUUAUGUAGGAAUUUUUAUUAUUCUUUUAUCA